rnacentral:lncRNA from 1 species
CGCCACAGCCCAAGUCUUCACCACCUCCGCCUUCACCACCUCCGCCACAGCCCAAGUCUUCACCACCUCCGCCACCUCCGCCUUCACCACCUCCGCCACAGCCUAAGUCUUCACCACCUCCGCCACCUCCGCCUUCACCACCUCCGCCUUCACCACCUCCGCCUUCACCACCUCCGCCACCUCCGCCUUCACCACAGCCUAAGUCUUCACCACCUCCGCCACCGCCCAACUCAUCACCACCUCCGCCACCCUCACCCUCACCUCUACCUCCUUACAAGUCACCACCACCACCAUCUCCAUCACCAUCUCCAUCACAAUCUCUACCAUCUCUAUCACCACCAUCUCCAUCACCAUCUCUAUCACCAUCUCCAUCACCAUCUCCAAUACCAAAUCCAACAUCAUCUCCAUCACCAUCUCCAUCACCAUCUCCAACACCAUCUCUAACAUCAUCUCCAACACCAUCUCCAACACCAUCUCCAACACCAUCUCCAUCACCAUCUCCAACACCAUCUCCAACACCAUCUCCAACAUCAUCUCCAUCACAAUCUCCAAUACCAAAUCCAACAUCAUCUCCAACACCAUCUCCAUCACCAUCUUCAACACCUUCUCCAUCACCAUCUCUAACACCAUCUCCAACACCAUCUCCAUCAUCAUCUCCAACACCAUCUCCAAUACCAAAUCCAACACCAUCUCCAACACAAUCUCCAACACCAAAUCCAACAUCAUCUCCAUCACAAUCUCCACCGUCUCCAUCACCUCCUCCUCCUUACGUUUACAAGUCUCCACCUCCUCCAUCUCCAUCACCACCACCUCCAUAUGUCUACAAGUCCCCGCCUCCUCUUUCCCCAUCACCUCCUCCACCCUACAUUUAUAAGUCACCACCACCACCCUCACCCUCACCUCCACCUCCAUAUCAUUACAAGUCCCCACCUCCACCUUCCCCGUCACCACCACCUCCAUAUGUCUACAAGUCUCCCCCUCCACCAUCUCCUUCACCUCCUCCUCCCCAUACUCACUCUCCUCCCCCACACUACUACAAAUCCCCUCCACCUCCUCGCCACUACAAGUCCCCUCCACCUCCUCGCCACUACAAGUCCCCUCCACCACCACAUCCUCGCCACUACAAGUCCCCUCCACCUCCACCUCCACCUCCUCGCCACUACAAGUCCCCUCCACCUCCUCGCCACUACUAAGCCUAUUUACGGCUACAGUUACAUAAAACAACUUGAAUUUUCAUAUCUACCAUGUAAUAUCAUAUCUAUUGUAAAGCAUAACUCGGUGUAUUACUUAUUUAAAUAAAUAAAAGCGAAGCAAAUGAUUAAU